CUUUGAUCCUGUAUGGAUUUUCUUGUUCCUUACUUCUGUGCUUAUUCUUGAUGUUCAGUGCUCAAUUGAACAAACUGUUUAAAAAACUGGGAUGAAUCACAGAAAACGCAAUUGCAAUUACAAUUGCUCCGUGUAAGUGUCUUGAGGGUUGAGGAGAGGGUGAUGAGCAAAUUGUAAUCAGAAUGAGGCUUUACUCUCCAUCAUUCUAGUGCAACUGUAUAAAUCCUUGUGGUAGAGUCCAUUUUCAGAUUGGUUGCCACUGAAAGGAAAAAUUUAUGUCUUAAGUGCAGAACAAAUGACAUGAAAGCAACUGAUUGAUGUAAAGGAGCCAAGUGAGAGCUGAAAUAAAAAGAUAGUUAUUUUUAACCCUUUUUUUUCUGAAGAAUUUGAGGAACAAUAUAAGUAAGGUCCAGAGAAAGAAAUGGGCCCCACAAGGAAUACGUAUUCUGAAGGGACCAUCAUCGUCGACGCCUCCACCUUACAAGCUGCAGCCCAGGUAGCUUGGAAUGCCUACAUUUUCAUCACGGGAAAUAUAAGUUCUUGGGAUGUUAGGCCGGGUAGGCGCCGGAGCUGACGGCGGCAGUGGCGGCGGCACUGCCACCGGAGAUGGGUGUUUCUGCUUCGUCUUGCCG